UACAGAGGUCCCGAGCGUUGUUCGGAUUCACUGGGCGUAAAGGGUGCGUAGGUGGUGAGGUAAGUCGGAUGUGAAAUCUCCGGGCUCAACCCGGAAAUGGCAUUGGAAACUACCUUGCUAGAGGAUUUGAGGGGGGAUUGGAAUAUUUGGUGUAGCAGUGAAAUGCGUAGAUAUCAAGUGGAACACCAGUGGCGAAGGCGAAUCCCUGGAAAAUACCUGACACUGAGGCACGAAAGCUAGGGGAGCAAACAGG
rnacentral:rRNA from 1 species